rnacentral:rRNA from 1 species
GCCAACGACCAUACCACGUAGGAACUACUGGUUCUCGUUCGAUCACCAAAGUCAAGCUACGUUGGGCACGGUUAGUACUUGGAUGGGUGACCGCUUGGGAACACCGUGUGUUGUUGGUUUCU